AUUGAACGCUGGCGGCAGGCUUAACACAUGCAAGUCGAGCGGGCGAGGUUGCUUCGGUAACUGAGCUAGCGGCGGACGGGUGAGUAAUGCUUAGGAAUCUGCCUAUUAGUGGGGGACAACAUUCCGAAAGGAAUGCUAAUACCGCAUACGCCCUACGGGGGAAAGCAGGGGAUCUUCGGACCUUGCGCUAAUAGAUGAGCCUAAGUCAGAUUAGCUAGUUGGUGGGGUAAAGGCCUACCAAGGCGACGAUCUGUAGCGGGUCUGAGAGGAUGAUCCGCCACACUGGGACUGAGACACGGCCCAGACUCCUACGGGAGGCAGCAGUGGGGAAUAUUGGACAAUGGGCGCAAGCCUGAUCCAGCCAUGCCGCGUGUGUGAAGAAGGCCUUUUGGUUGUAAAGCACUUUAAGCGAGGAGGAGGCUACUUGGAUUAAUACUCUGGGAUAGUGGACGUUACUCGCAGAAUAAGCCCCGGCAAACUUCGUGCCAGCCGCCGCCGUAAUAC
rnacentral:rRNA from 1 species